rnacentral:lncRNA from 1 species
GGCUGAAAUGGGGCCUUUACUAGUCAGGAUUCUCUAAAGAAACAGAACUGAUAGAAUGGGAUGUCUUAGAGAUGCUUACAAGUUGCGUCCAGGUAGUCCAAUGAGGGCUCUCCUCCAACAGAAAGGCCAAGAGCCCACAGUUGUCUGGUGCACGAGCAUCUAUGUCUUAGCUGUCCUGGUCUGGUACAGGAGUGCCCAGGAACAGUGAAGACUCUGCAUUGGAAACCUAAAGUAGAUUGUAAUGCCAGUGAAGGAACUCCUCAGCAGCAGGAUAGAUGGACUCCCGGCCAACAUGAAGGCAAGCAGACAAUAAGCAAAGGCUUCCUUCUUCCAUGUCCUUCAUAUAAGUUGCUGCUGGAAGAUGUGACUCAAUUUUUUAAAUAUUAACUUAUUUUUUUAUUUUACCCUUCAAAUAUUAUCCCCUUUCCUUGUUUCCCCUCUGCAAAUCCCUUAUCCCAUCUCCCCUUACCCUGCUUCUUUGAGGGUGCUCCCCCACCCACAUACCCACCCCUGCCUCACUGCCCUAGCAUUCCUCUACACUGGGGCAUCAAGCCUUCACAGGACCAAGGGCCUCACCUCCCAUUGAUGCCAGAUAAGGCCCCUUACAGCUCCUUUAGUCCUUCCCCUAACUCCUCCAUUGGGGUCCCUGGGCACAUCCGAUGGUUGGCUGCGAGCCUCCACAUUGGUUAGGAUCUGGCAGAGCCUCUCAGGAGACAGCUGUAUCAGGCUCCUGUCAGCAAGCACUUCUUGGCAUCUGCAAUAGUGUCUGGGUUUGGUGUCUGCAUAUGGGAUGGAUCCUCAGGUGGGGCAGUCUCUGGAUAGUCUUCCCUCCUAAAAUGAUUCAAUCAAGAAAAUCCUCACAAAUGUGCCCAGAUGCUUGGGUUUUAGUUUAUUCCAGAUGAGGUCCUGUUGACCACCAAGAUUAGCCAUCAGAGAUCCCAAAGAUAAGAUGGCAGGAUUUGGAGCCAUUUAUAGCUGGGUUUGAGGUAGAUGCUCAUUUACUCUGGCCUGAGGUCCUACUUCCUCAUCUGUAAAAUAAGACAGAUACUGGUACCUAACCAACAGGUUGUGGUGCAGGUCCAAAUUAAUGGGGGAUGUAAGUCCUUGGCACACAGUAGGUACUCAGUACAUUAUAAAUUGAAAAUGUUGCAUUAAGUUGUAGAAUCUUCCUGGCCCUCCUCUCAAGCAGCAAGCUCACCAAGUGAGAGCUAUUUAUAACAGGUUAGACAAGGGUCCCCCAACAGCGUGCUAGAGAAGGGAACCUCAGUUCCCUCCCUAGCUAAGCCUACACGUUUCUCUUGAGGUGACUCUGGGAACCCUCUGCUCCCUGAAAGAAUGGGAAGAACUCAGUAAAAUCUUGAAGUGCCACCAUUGUCCCUUAGGAGAAAAAUUGAUACACAGUGACAUCAGGCAAGAACCCUGGCCAUAUCCACCCUGAGCCAGCACCAGCUUCUAAGCCUCAGGUCAGCUAGGGGAAAUCUGACGACAGAGCCUGCAUCUUUGCCUGUAUCUUCCUGUGUUAGCACCAGCUAUCCUUUCAGAGGAGCUGACCACGUAUGGGAUAUCAGCAAGCUCAUCUCAGCUUUCCGUCUGAUUCGGGUCAGAACUCCUGAACUGUGUGUUGGUGAUAUACAACUUAUGGUGAUGACCCAGGACCACAAGGAAGAUACAUAUUUAAACAUCUCAGACACACUUGAGCCAUCCCCAGGUGCAGAGAAAAACGGAUGCCUGGACCUGAAGCUCUACCUGGCACUUCCCGUAUGCUAAAUAACAGUAACAGAGCCUGCUAGCCUGCUUAAAUUUGGCCCACUCAUUUCAAAGGCCUGUUCAGCUGUCCGUGUCAAUAGUAAAAUGGGCUCAGUUUUCCACAGGAGAGAUCUGCAGGGGACUCAAGACUCUCUGGGCAAGUGCAAUGGAUUUCACACUGAGGCCUGGGGAGAAUUAUCCUAAAGCACGUGUGUGGGCAGCUUACCGAGGCCUAGGCUUAGGGGUCCUCCUCUUCCCGUGCACAGUUUCUUGGAGCGCAAGGAAUGUGCAAGCCUUCUUUCUUCCAUGAAAGUAGUUUCCUUCCCCAUUAUUAAGAAAAAAAAGUCAUUAAUUUUAAGAUUGUUGACACCCCAUUGCUAGGGAGGGUGCUUAAGAAUCUCCAUUUUCCUAGUGCUCUCUGGAAGACGUUUCCGUUCGUGAACUUUGUUCAGGGGGUCACUACACGCCCUAGAAGGCAGAGGCUGGGUUUCCCACUUUCAUUUCUGUGAUCAAAAUAUCCUGAUAAAAGCAACUUAUAGGAAAAAGGGCUUGGUUUAGCCCACAAUCCAGGGUACAGCCCUUUACUGCAGAAGUCACAGCGGCAGGAGCUUGGGGCAGCUGGUCAUAUGACAUCCACUGUCCAGAGCAGAGAGAAAAUGAACACUCAGGACUCAGCCAGCUUUUCCUACCCUUACACAGUCCAGAGCCCCGCACACGGGAGUGUGCUGUGUACUUUCAGGCUGGCUCUUCUCACAUCAGCUAAGACAAUCAAGACAAUCUGCUCCAGGCUUGCCCACAGGCCAACCUGACCUAGAUAAUGCCUCAGACUCUCUUCCCAAGUGAUUCUAGGUUCUGUCAUAUUGACAGUUAGCAUUAACCAUCACACUGAGAUGUCUCCAGUCAGCCCCACAAUUUUACACCCAGGAAUCUAGGAACCCAGUCUGGCGUUUAAGGGAGCCAAUCACUCAGAAAGGGACAGAGGGACAUAAAGUCCUGUCUGAAGAAGGAAACUCCUUCAGGGAAGAUAGCAUCAACAGUGUCUGCAGAACACUGCCCUCCCUCUGGGUCUGCUUAGGACACUGUCUCCUGGAAGCUUGGGACCACCCCUUGGAUUCUGACUCCCUGAGCCCUUCCCACACCAUUCAUUCUGCCAGCCUUACAAAGCUCCUCUUCCAAGAAUGUCCUCCCCUGGGUAAUUGGACCCUCAGGCCAUUGACAUUUAAAGAAAUGUUUUUGACCUUUUCAGCGGUUCCAUAAAAUCACAAAAUAGAACUCUAAAUAUUACUGCAGCCUCCUGCUUGCCCAGAUCCUGGUGGAGACUCAUUUUCCAGGCUAACUCAGGAAUGAGAGAAAAUAGCAUAAUUGCUAACGAAAGGGGCUUCUUCUCAAACUUCUCCCUCUCACUCAUGUCACUCUGGCCUGUGCUAACUGCACCAGGGCUGGCCUCUUCCUCCACCAUAGCCACUGAGAUGUCUGCUGUCAUUGUCACCCAAAGGACACAGUUACAUUGGAGGGGUGGGGUUUCCACUCUUGAAUGGUCGCAGUGAUAAAGAUCUACUUGUGGUUUAGAUGUUUGGCCCAGCUGCAUGGGGACCCCGUCCCUUGUGGUUCUUCCACUACCCAUUUGGAAGUAGGAACAAUAGAUGC